rnacentral:lncRNA from 1 species
GGCAAGUACAGAGAGAUGGGCAGGGCUGAGAAAAUGGCAAAGAAAUAGAGACAGAGUUAAGAUCAAAUAUUGCCUAAAUGUCACACCCAUCUCUGUUUUCUUUUUUUUAGGUGCCAUGAUAAAUAAGCCAGUUUGAGUCACUUGGUCUAAUAUCGAGAUCACGAACAUAUUGAUCACAGAGUGUGUUAGGUAACAGAACUUCAAGAGGAAAGGACAGUGAGAGACCAUGACUAAAGAAUUACUCCGUGAGCAACUCAGGAGGACCAGCUAUGAUUUCACUCUCAUUCAAAAAAGAGAAAUAAUAUUUCU